ACUUGCAGAAUCACACCAAUCCGUCAUUUGCACCUUGAGGGGAAAGGAGUGGCGCUCCGAAAUAUUCCCUCCCCUCCCAAACUACUGAUCUGACGUACGUGUGUUCUGGAUUACUGUGCUACGGCUACCCCCAAGGUGCACGUAUCUGAUGAUUCAAAAUGAGUAGGGAGACAUAUAUAUACCCUCUUUUUUUUUAUGCCGGUGUUAUACGUUAGCCUGGGUACAUUUUGCGUGCGCCGUCUGUCUAUAUAGACAACGUGGCAGUCCUCAGCAAAUAUGUUAUUCUGACUGAGAAUUUUAACAGCGAUCAAGGGCGAUUGCUUCCAAGUCUGCCAGGCUAAGAGGAUGGCAUAUGCAGUAGUGGUUACAGUGAAUCAUGUCUCUUGUCUGUUGUUUUCCCCUUCCUUUCCAUUUGAGCUGUUGAGCCGAAUUAUAAUAAUUAUAGAGGGCAGCGUAUGUAUACUAUUAUAUAUAUGUCUGUGCAUUUCAAACCCUCGCCAGAAGCUGCCUAAACAUUCACAGAGUUUAUACCUAUAUAUAUAUACAGCCCC
rnacentral:sRNA from 1 species